rnacentral:rRNA from 1 species
GACGAACGCUGGCGGCGUGCUUAACACAUGCAAGUCGAACGGAAAGGCCCUGCUUUUGUGGGGUGCUCGAGUGGCGAACGGGUGAGUAACACGUGAGUAACCUGCCCUUGACUUUGGGAUAACUUCAGGAAACUGGGGCUAAUACCGGAUAGGAGCUCCUGCUGCAUGGUGGGGGUUGGAAAGUUUCGGCGGUUGGGGAUGGACUCGCGGCUUAUCAGCUUGUUGGGGGGGUAGUGGCCGACCAAGGCUUCGGCGGGUGGCCGGCCGGGGCGGGGGACCGGGCACAUUGGGACUGAGAUACGGCCCAGACUCCUACGGGAGGCAGCAGUGGGGAAUAUUGCACAAUGGGCGGAAGCCUGAUGCAGCAACGCCGCGUGCGGGAUGACGGCCUUCGGGUUGUAAACCGCUUUCGCCUGUGACGAAGCGUGAGUGACGGUAAUGGGUAAAGAAGCACCGGCUAACUACGUG